rnacentral:rRNA from 1 species
UUCGGUCCUAGUGGCGAACGGUCGCGUAACACGUAAGCAACCUGCCCUGAAGUGGGGGACAACAUCCCGAAAGGGGUGCUAAUACCGCAUGUGGUCACGAGUCGGCAUCGACUUGUGUCUAAAGAUUUAUCGCUUCAGGAUGGGCUUGCGGCCUAUCAGGUAGUUGGUGGGGUAAUGGCCUACCAAGCCGACGACGGGUAGCUGGUCUGAGAGGACGAUCAGCCGGAUUGGGACUGAGAUACGGCCCAGACUCCUACGGGGGGCAGCAAUUAGGAAUCUUGCGCAAUGGGGGAAACCCUGACGCAGCGACGUCGCGUGAAGGAUGAAGGCCCUCGGGUCGUAAACUUCUUUUGAGUGGGAAGAAAUUUGACGGUACCACUCGAAUAAGCCCCGGCUAACUACGUGCCAGCAGCCGCGGUAAUACGUAGGGGGCGAGCGUUGUCCGAAGUUACUGGGCGUAAAGCGCGCGUAGGCGGUUAUUUAAGUCUGGGGUGAAAGGUUCAGCGCU